rnacentral:rRNA from 1 species
AACGAACGCUGGCGGCAUGCCUAACACAUGCAAGUCGAACGAGACCUUCGGGUCUAGUGGCGCACGGGUGCGUAACGCGUGGGAACCUGCCCUUAGGUUCGGAAUAACUCCCCGAAAGGGGUGCUAAUACCGGAUAAUGUCUUCGGACCAAAGAUUUAUCGCCUUUGGAUGGGCCCGCGUUGGAUUAGCUAGUUGGUAGGGUAAAAGCCUACCAAGGCGACGAUCCAUAGCUGGUCUGAGAGGAUGAUCAGCCACACUUGGACUGAGACACGGCCCAGACUCGUACGGGAGGCAGCAGUGGGGAAUAUUGGACAAUGGGCGAAAGCCUGAUCCAGCAAUGCCGCGUGAGUGAUGAAGGCCUUAGUGUUGUAAAGCUCUUUUACCCGGGAUGAUAAUGACAGUACCGGGAGAAUAAGCUCCGGCUAACUCCGUG